rnacentral:rRNA from 1 species
UACAGAGGUGCCGAGCGUUAGGCGGAAUCACUGGGCUUAAAGCGUGUGUAGGCGGACUUCUAAGUACCUUGUGAAAUCCCACGGCUCACCCGUGGAACUGCUGGGUAUACUGGUCGUCUUGAGCCACCUAGGGGCGAGCGGAACAAAUGGUGGAGCGGUGAAAUGCGUAGAUAUCAUUUGGAACGCCAAUGGUGAAAACAGCUCGCUGGGAAUGAUCUGACACUGAGACGCGAAAGCCAGGGGAGCGAACGGG